AGAGUUUGAUCCUGGCUCAGGACGAACGCUGGCGGCGUGCCUAACACAUGCAAGUCGAACGGGGAUACGUUUUCGGAUGUAUUCUAGUGGCGCACGGGUGAGUAACGCGUGAGCGACCUGACCCAAAGAGGGGGAUAACAUCGAGAAAUCGAUGCUAAUACCGCAUAAGACCACGGUAUCGCAUGGUACAGAGGUCAAAGGAGCAAUCCGCUUUGGGAGGGGCUCGCGUCCCAUUAGAUAGUAGGCGGGGUAACGGCCCACCUAGUCAACGAUGGGUAGCCGAGCUGAGAGGCUGAUCGGCCACACUGGAACUGAGACACGGUCCAGACUCCUACGGGAGGCAGCAGUGGGGAAUAUUGGGCAAUGGGCGAAAGCCUGACCCAGCAACGCCGCGUGAGGGAAGAAGGUUUUCGGAUUGUAAACCUCUGUCGCAGAUGACGAAGGAAGUGACGGUAAUCUGUGAGGAAGCCCCGGCUAACUACGUGCCAGCAGCCGCGGUAAUACGUAGGGGGCGAGCGUUGUCCGGAAUUACUGGGCGUAAAGGGUGCGUAGGCGGUUAAUUAAGUUGGAUGUGAAAUACCCGGGCUUAACCUGGGGGGUGCAUUCAAAACUGGUUAACUAGAGUUCAGGAGAGGGAAGCGGAAUUCCUAGUGUAGCGGUGAAAUGCGUAGAUAUUAGGAGGAACACCAGUGGCGAAGGCGGCUUUCUGGACUGACACUGACGCUGAGGCACGAAAGCGUGGGGAGCAAACAGGAUUAGAUACCCUGGUAGUC
rnacentral:rRNA from 1 species